rnacentral:rRNA from 1 species
UUACACAUGCAAGUCGAGCGGUAACAUUUCUAGCUUGCUAGAAGAUGACGAGCGGCGGACGGGUGAGUAACGCGUAGGAAUCUGCCUAGUAGUGGGGGACAACAUGUGGAAACGCAUGCUAAUACCGCAUACGCCCUAUGGGGGAAAGGAGGGGAUCUUCGGACCUUUCGCUAUUAGAUGAGCCUGCGUGAGAUUAGCUAGUUGGUGGGGUAAAGGCCUACCAAGGCGACGAUCUCUAGCUGGUCUGAGAGGAUGAUCAGCCACACUGGGACUGAGACACGGCCCAGACUCCUACGGGAGGCAGCAGUGGGGAAUAUUGGACAAUGGGCGCAAGCCUGAUCCAGCCAUGCCGCGUGUGUGAAGAAGGCCUUAGGGUUGUAAAGCACUUUCAGGAGUGAGGAAGGGCGUAUAGUUAAUACCUGUAUGUCUUGACGUUAACUCAGAAGAAGCACCGGCUAACUCUGUGCCAGCAGCCGCGGUAAUACAGAGGGUGCGAGCGUUAAUCGGAAUUACUGGGCGUAAAGCGCGCGUAGGCGGUUUGUUAAGUCGGAUGUGAAAUCCCAGGGCUCAACCUUGGAAUGGCACCCGAUACUGG